AACGUAGGAGGCGAGCGUUAUCCGGAUUUACUGGGUGUAAAGCGCGUGCAGGCGGUCUGUUAAGUUGGAUGUGAAAGCUCCCGGCUCAACUGGGAGAGGUCGUUCAAGACUGGCAGACUGGAGAGCAGUAGGGGAAGGUGGAAUUCCGGGUGUAGUGGUGAAAUGCGUAGAUAUCCGGAGGAACACCAGUGGCGAAGGCGGCCUUCUGGACUGCAUCUGACGCUCAGACGCGAAAGCUAGGGGAGCAAACGGG
rnacentral:rRNA from 2 species